CCUUCUUUGAUGCUCUAUAGAAGUCAUUGAUUCAUCCUCAAGAUGUAUCCUAUGCAUGCACAAAGAAGGUGAUAUCCCCUUAAUAUCAUCAAGUGAGUAACCUAACCUCCUAAGUUCAUUCAAAAGUUUAGACAACUCAAGUUCAUUAAGUUCACUACUCACUAUGACAGGUUAAGUCUCAUUAGGGCCAAAAAAGCAUACCUUACACCUUGGGGCAGAGGUUUAAGCUCCACUUUAGGCGCCUUGAGUUCACUCCAGUCCUCUUGAUGACUGUCUUCUUUUUAAGUAGCUGAGGCAGCAUGGUGAAUUUCAUGUGUAAGCUCCUCAUUCUGAUCUUCACCACCAAUUCCCUUGUGAGAAUCCAUCAUCUUCACAUAGGCAUCACUUUCCUUGUUCUCAACCACUUGGACCUCUCUUUCAAUUGUCAAAGCAUGCUGUAGAGGGUCUUCAAGUGCCAAUUCCUCUAGAAGCUCAUUAGCUAGAGCAUCCAUUUCAUCUAUGUAGAAAACUUGGUUCUAGAUGGUUGGCCUCUUCAUCACUUCAUUGAUGUCAAAGUCGAAGAUGUUCCCUUUUCCAAGAUGAAGAUCAAUCUCCCCUUCUCUGACAUUCACAAUAGCUCCUGCUAUGGCUAAGAAUGGUCUUCCAAGGAUCAAAGGGUCUUUGGCUUCCUCACCCAUCUCCAACACAACAAAAUCAUUAGGGAUCUCAAAGUUACCAACCAUCACGGGAAUGUCUUCUAGGAUAUCAACAGGAAUCUUCACUGAUCUAUCAGCCAACACCAAAGAGAGUCUACACUUCUUCUUGAGUAAAUCCAAGCUUCUUUGCAAUAGACAAAGGCAUCAAGCUGACACUAGCUCCAAUAUCACAUAGACACCUCUCAAACAC
rnacentral:lncRNA from 1 species